rnacentral:rRNA from 1 species
CCUACGGGAGGCAGCAGUGAGGAAUAUUGGUCAAUGGGCGCUAGCCUGAACCAGCCAAGUAGCGUGAAGGAUGACUGCCCUAUGGGUUGUAACCUUCUUUUAUAUGGGACUAAAGUGCAGUAUAUAUACUGCUUUGCAUGUACCUUAUGAAUACGCAUCGGCUAACUCCGUUCCAGCAGCCGCGGUAAUACGGAGGAUCCGCGCGUUAUCCGGAUUUAUUGGGGUUAAGGGGCGCGUAGGCGGGGUGUUAAGUCAGUUGUGAAAGUUUCCGGCUCAACCGUAAAAUUGCAGUUGAUACUGGCAUCCUUGAGUACAGGAGAGGUAGGCGGAAUUCGUGGUGUAGCGGUGAAAUGCUUAGAUAUCACGAAGAACUCCGAUUGCGAAGGCAGCCUGCUGGACUGUAACUGACGCUGAUGCUCGAAAGUGUGGGUAUCAAACAGGAUUAGAUACCCGGGUAGUC